ACCAUGCUUUGGUGUUCAAGUUUGUGCCUUUUCGAGGUAGAUGGGUUCAAGCCUUAGGUUGCUUUUUAUCGAAAAAUUCAUGCAAAAGCGAACCGCUACAUAAACUAGUUUUAGAGUGUAUUGUUUUAAUGGAAAACAGCGGAAUUUGUGUUGAUGCUGUUGUGAUGGACGGUGCACCUUGGAACCGAGGAGUAUGGAAAAUAUUCGGUGUAAAUGAAGACACUGUUAGCUGUGAACACCCUUGUGACUGCUCACGACGGUUAUGGAUGAUUUCAGAUUUUAAUCAUUUAGUGAAAUGUUUUCGAACAUCUACUUUGGAUGAUAAGCUACAAGAGUUCAAGACCCCUUACGGAACUGUGAAAAAAAGACAUUGGGAAGCGGUAUUAGAGGAAGAGAAUUAUCGUCAGCCUAACUUAAAAAUCGCUUACAAGUUAACACCAGCGCAUUUGAAACCGAAAGGUUUUCAAGUAAUGAAUGUUCCUCUUGCAACUGAAGUGUUUGGUCACGAAAUUUCGGUCGCCAUGGC